UAAUUGAAGAGUUUGAUCAUGGCUCAGAUUGAACGCUGGCGGCAGGCCUAACACAUGCAAGUCGAGCGGCAGCACAGAGAAACUUGUUUCUCGGGUGGCGAGCGGCGGACGGGUGAGUAAUGCCUGGGAAAUUGCCCUGAUGUGGGGGAUAACCAUUGGAAACGAUGGCUAAUACCGCAUGAUGCCUACGGGCCAAAGAGGGGGACCUUCGGGCCUCUCGCGUCAGGAUAUGCCCAGGUGGGAUUAGCUA
rnacentral:rRNA from 1 species